CCUACGGGUGGCAGCAGUGGGGAAUAUUGGACAAUGGGCGAAAGCCUGAUCCAGCAAUGCCGCGUGAGUGAUGAAGGCCUUAGGGUCGUAAAGCUCUUUUACCAGGGAUGCAGUACCUGGAGAAUAAGCUCCGGCUAACUCCGUGCCAGCAGCCGCGGUAAUACGGAGGGAGCUAGCGUUGUUCGGAAUUACUGGGCGUAAAGCGUACGUAGGCGGUUAUUCAAGUCAGAGGUGAAAGCCCGGGGCUCAACCCCGGAACUGCCUUUGAAACUAGAUAGCUAGAGUCUUGGAGAGGUCAGUGGAAUUCCGAGUGUAGAGGUGAAAUUCGUAGAUAUUCGGAAGAACACCAGUGGCGAAGGCGACUGACUGGACAGACUGACGCUGAGGUACGAAAGCGUGGGGAGCAAACAGGAUUAGAUACCCUUGUAGUC
rnacentral:rRNA from 1 species